rnacentral:rRNA from 1 species
UACGGGAGGGUGCAAGCGUUAUCCGGAUUUACUGGGGUUUAAAGGGUGCGCAGGCGGAUAUGUAAGUCAGUGGUGAAAUCUCCUGGGCUUAACCCGGAAAUUGCCAUUGAUACUAUAUAUCUUGAAUGUUGUGGAGGUAAGCGGAAUAUGUCAUGUAGCGGUGAAAUGCUUAGAUAUGACAUAGAACACCUAUUGCGAAGGCAGCUUACUACGCAGAUAUUGACGCUCGAUGACACGAAAGCCGUGGGGAUCAAACAGG